UGCAUGGACGAAGUUGACGGAUCACGCCGCGUGAGUGAUGAAGGUUUCGGAUCGUAAAACUCUGUUGUUAGGGAAGAACAAGUACCGUUCGAACAGGGCGGUACCUUGACGGUACCUAACCAGAAAGCCACGGCUAACUACGUGCCAGCAGCCGCGGUAAUACGUAGGUGGCAAGCGUUGUCCGGAAUUAUUGGGCGUAAAGCGCUCGCAGGCGGUUCUUUAAGUCUGAUGUGAAAUCUUACGGCUUAACCGUAAACGUGCAUUGGAAACUGGGGAACUUGAGUGCAGAAGAGGAGAGUGGAAUUCCACGUGUAGCGGUGAAAUGCGUAGAGAUGUGGAGGAACACCAGUGGCGAAGGCGACUCUCUGGUCUGUAACUGACGCUGAGGAGCGAAAGCGUGGGGAGCGAACAGGAUUA
rnacentral:rRNA from 1 species